rnacentral:rRNA from 7 species
GUUGACCUCGGAUCAGGUAGGAAUACCCGCUGA